UACGUAGGUGGCAAGCGUUGUUCGGAAUUAUUGGGCGUAAAGGGCGCGUAGGCGGUUUGCUAAGUCAGUUGUGAAAGCCCGGGGCUCAACCCCGGAGAGUCGGCUGAUACUGGUGGACUAGAGUACGGAAGAGGUAGCUGGAAUUCCUGGUGUAGCGGUGAAAUGCGUAGAUAUGACAUAGAACACCAAUUGCGAAGGCAGCUUACUACAGGAAUAUUGACACUGAGGCACGAAAGCGUGGGGAUCAAACAGG
rnacentral:rRNA from 1 species